ensembl:lncRNA
UUUUUUCUUUUUUUUUUUUUUUUUCUGUCUUUAUAGCAUCAAGAGCAGAAUGUGCCCCUGACAACUCAGCCACAGGGCAGGUGAGGCCAGCUCCAAUUGGCCUGGAUCCGCCAGUGUGCAGUUAAAGGAAAAGCUUCUCCUUAGGAUACAGUUUCAACCAAAGGAUGGUAUCAAUUCUGAUUUUUUAGAAAAAUUUUACUACAAGCCAAACUUAAAAAAAAAAUUAAGAUACCCUAAUCUCUAUCAGAACACAACCAGGGUUAACUAGUAGUGAGCUUCCAGUAACUGGGAGUGUACAAGUUAAGGCAAGUGGACAGCAGGAGGGAGCUGGCAUGGCUGAGUUUGUCCCAGGAGGCCUCUGAGCUGCUUCCAACAGGGCAUCUUCACAACCACAAUGGGCUGGCAGGGCCACCCUCAAACACUCUCUGGGUAUCUGCCAGGACUUCCCUUUGCUUGUGCCAGGAUGUUAGCCCUGCUUUCGGCCUCUCAUGAGUGCUCCUAAUAACUAAUAACUCCUGAGAACCAUCAAAAUGCCGAUGCCCUCUGACCCAGAAAUCCUAUUCCUUAAGAAUAAUCUGAGAUACAUCAUUGCCCAAAGGGGGAAAUAUUGUACACAAACAAAAAUGCUCACCACAACGGCAGGAAGGGACUGGUUCACCUAUCAUGGUCCAUCCGCUUGCAGGAAUGUGAAGAAGCAACACAAAAUGAAACUCGGUAACACCACAAAGCAAGGGGCUGACUUUACUCAAUAAGAAAGCUGAGGAAUGGUCAUGUUAUAUGAUUUAUUCAUUCAAUUAUUCAUUCAUGUAGCCACUCAUUCACUCACUCAUUGAUUCAAUGAACCUCAUGCUGGCCUCAGGCAAAGUGCAAAGAGAUGUCAGUCUGGUCACCUGGCCUUGGGCUGGACGUCUCGGACACCAGCUCUUCCCCUCAACACACACGCCCACACAGACACACAUAUGCACAGACACACACAUGUACACACAGAACCACAGGGGCACACACAAAUGCUGGAUCCUAGGUGGGAAGAGUGACAGGUCAAUCCCUCUGUGUCCUGGUACCUCAUGAGACCUAUGUUUGAGACCCAGUUCUGUCUCAAAAUGCAGAUCUGGCAGGUCAUUCCCACUUUGCAGAACUCUCUGUUCCCUGGUCUGCGAAAUAGGAGAAUGACACUUUUCCCAUCUUACUAGGGCUUGGUCUUCCUCGAUUUUGCAGUUAUCUUUUUCUGGUAACCUGAUAAAUACGUCUUGAAUUCUUGAAUAGGGGGUUGGCUAAAAAAAAAUCCUCAGGGAACUUUCCUACCCUAAAACAUUUCUGUGGGCCUUUCUCAUUUUCUGGUCUUCUUCGGAAGGCCUGCGUCAUUCCCGGCAUGUGCGAAAAGGCCUCUGUUGAAACAAAAAUGAGCUUUGAAUCCCACUUCCUCUUUAUUCCCUCUGCCUAUUCCCAGGUAAAUCAUUCAAACUCUGAUCUUUCAUUUCCUUGUUUCUAAAACUGAGAUAUGAAUGACACACACCUAUUCCAUGGUCCUGGCCCAUAGUAACCACACCACCUGUGUUGACCUCUAUCAAAAACAUCAUAAGCACCUUCGAAGGAAGAGAGGGAUGCAGGAGGGAACUAGCAGACUCUUAAGGCUGGAAGGGAAGCGUUUGGUAAUUGCAGUA